rnacentral:rRNA from 1 species
UUAAGAAGAUUAGAGUCUGUUAUAAUAUUUAUGGCAUUAUAUAAAGUACCUUUUGCAUCAUGAUUCUUUGAGGAGUAUAGAUUAUUUCUAAUGCCCGAAAGGCUUAUGAUUUUCAUUGAUUCUUAAUAAUUUGGGUUAGUUAUCAGUUAUUGUGUAAAUAUUAGUAGAAAUCAUUGAGGAGUGUGAUAAAUAAUUCGUAUAGUCUAAUAUCUGGUUUAUGGCUUAAUGAAAUCUAUAAAUAGGAAUUGAUUGUGUUUAUUUUUAUGUAUAGAGAUAGUAUUUAUUUUAGUAUGUGUGUCUUGGAUUAAGAUUGUCCUAGGUUUAAUUAGUUAUUUACUUGGCAUAUUUUUUGAUAUAGGUUCUUAUGGUUAUUGGCUGUAUUGAUAAUUGGUUGUAUAAGAAUGAAGGAAUAAGUAGGUUUAUGUUUGGUCUAAUAGUUUGUUUUUAUUCUUUAGUCCUGUUCAACUGUUUAUCAAAAACAUUGCUAUUUGUUAGGUUUAAAUAGUAUGGCCUGCCCACUGUUGGAAUAAAUGGUCGCAGAUUUUCUGUGCUAAGGUAGCAUAAUAUAUCGCUUCUUAAUUAGUGGCUUGUGAAUGGUUUAAUGAAAUAGGGUGCUUAAAUGAUGACUAUUUCUGAAAUUGGUUUAGUGAUGAGGAACUCGCUGUGAUAAUAUAAGACGGAAAGACCCCAAGAUCUUGGAUUAUAGAUUGAUUUUGUUUGGGGUAAAUGUAUAUUUUUCAUUUAUUUUUAGAUCCUUAUACAGAAGAUAAAGGUUAAAGUUACCUUGGGGAUAACUGAGUAAAGAGUUGUGAGAGGCCAUAUUGAUCGACUUGUUACUACCUCGAUGUUGGCUUAGAGAUACCUUCAUGGAGUAGAAGCUAUGAAAGGUGGUCUGUUCGACCAUUGAAUCUUUUAUGAGUUGAGUUAAGACCGGUGAAAGCCAGGUCGGUUCUUAUCUAUAUGUGAUUUUAGUUAGUACGAAAGGAAUAUUAUAGUGUAAGUUGUUUAUAUUGGUGGUU